UACGAAGGGGGCUAGCGUUGCUCGGAAUCACUGGGCGUAAAGCGCACGUAGGCGGCUUGUUAAGUCAGGGGUGAAAUCCUGGAGCUCAACUCCAGAACUGCCUUUGAUACUGGCAAGCUUGGAGUCCGGGAGAGGUGAGUGGAACUGCGAGUGUAGAGGUGAAAUUCGAUAGAUAUUGACAAGAACACCAGUGGCGAAGGCGGCUCACUGGCCCGGUACUGACGCUGAGGUGCGAAAGCGUGGGGAGCAAACAGG
rnacentral:rRNA from 1 species